UCGAUGGUUACUAGGUGACUCCGCCCGACCCCGCCUCCUGCACGUUUGCUUGCUUUAGGUUUUUGGCUUCACCUCCUAGUGGGUCUUUUUAGAAGGAAUAAUCAAUCAAACCUGAGGCUGGGCAAAUGAAAAGAUUGAGGAAAUGAGGAACCGGUGUUGUCUGUUGGAGAUGGAUUGAUGAGGGCUUUAUUUAUCGAGUAAGGACGGGGAAAAGGGCGGAUUUGAGAAAGAGGAUAAUCACACCCCGGCCACGCGGACGGAAGUGGGAAUCUGGACCAGAGGCAAGGGUCAAGGGCUGAAGAUUGAAAUUUUGCGUAGAGAUCACCCAAGAGACCAGGAUAAAGUGGUUGGAGGAGGCAUAAGAACCAUAGAAAACAGGCUGAAGAAGACAAUGGAGACGGGGAAAUGUGUUAGGGAGAGAUUGGAGGAGAAAGGGUUCUAGGUCUCCGGCAGGUGCUAAGUUCAGGAGAAAGACCCAUGACCAGCUACAGCCCGAGCUUCAAGAGACAUUCAGCAAGGUGGCCUGUGUGUUUGUGUCUAGUGUUCAACUACGUGCUCUGCUUAUCUCCCCCAGCUCACCCCAGAUCCUCACACUGCUCUCUUGCUUACUCUACCAAGAACUCUUAACUCUCCUGCUCUCUGGCUUACUCUACCAAGAACUCUUAACUCUCCUCCGCCUGGCUCCCCGCCCCCCUCCCCUUCCUUCAAGACCAACCUUCAAGUCAGCCUCUCUCUGAUAAGCUUUGUCAAUCGCUCCACCAUCUCCAUGACCCUCUGUCCCUAAUACAGUUUUCAACUGAUACAUCUCUGUCUUGUUCUCCGGGUUUGUGCAUUUAA
rnacentral:lncRNA from 1 species